rnacentral:rRNA from 1 species
GGCCCAGAUCGUUUACCGUGAAAAAAUUAGAGUGUUCAAAGCAGGCAGAUCCAAUUUUCUGCCACCGAAUACAUUAGCAUGGGAUAAUGGAAUAGGACCCUGUCCUCCUAUUUUCAGUUGGUUUUGGCAGCGCAAGGACUAGGGUAAUGAUUAAUAGGGAUAGUUGGGGGCAUUAAUAUUUAAUUGUCAGAGGUGAAAUUCUUGGAUUUAUGAAAGAUUAACUUCUGCGAAAGCAUCUGCCAAGGAUGUUUUCAUUAAUCAAGAACGAAAGUUAGGGGAUCGAAGACGAUCAGAUACCGUCGUAGUCUUAACCAUAAACGAUGCCGACCAGCGAUUAGGAGACGUUGAAUACAAAACACCACCAUCGGCGCGGUCGUCCUUGGCGUGUCUCGGCUUCACGGCCGGGGCGCGCGAGGGCGGUUUAGCCCGGUGGCACCGGUGAAUGACUCCCCUAGCAGCUUGUGAGA